AUGCAAGCAUUGGAACUAGGAUAUGUAUCAUAUGACAGGAUUCUGUACAGCAGGAAGAGGGCUGGAGUAAUUAAUCCAGGAGACUCCAUCUGGACUGAGAUAUCUCAAAACCAGACUUGCCUGGCACUCAUUUGGAAGAUGGGAAUCCUCACAUUUUAUGUUGAGUAUUCUACUGAUUUAUGUAGAUCAUUCUACUACCUACUGCCUUCAUUUUUUCUUUUCCUUAAUUGCUGGUAGUAGAUCAUUCUACUACUAGCAAGCAAUGAAGGAAGAGGAAAAAUAACUGCAUAUGAUGAAGGCUCUUCCCUGUUUAAAGACUGUUGAUUUACUCAAAUAAUUGAUUAUACUGGUGUAAUGAAUGCAUUGAAAACUGGGUUUUCAGUUCAAGUCAAAUUAAACUUCUACAUAUACUGGAAAGCUUGAAAUGUAUCUGAUUUUGCUGCUGUAAGGAAUAUAAAUAAUUCAUUAUUGUUUUUAUGAUGGAAUACUGGAUAACAUGCUUAUCUCCUUCCCAUAAAAUCUUUCCUUCCAAAGAUCCAAAGGUUUGAAAAUAUCCCCUUUGUCCUAUUGCACAAAUAGGACCUACAUAUAAACUAGGUUAUAAACUUAAGGUGAUAUCUUUAACCUUUUAAAUUUCAAAAUUAAAGGUGGUGUUGUUAAAGGUACAGUCAUACCAAAUAAGAAUAGAGAUAAAAUAAUUUGAUAACCAGAGAGAGCUUACUGUGUACAUACCUGCUUGAGUAUAUGUACAGGCAAAUUGAUUUAUUUUAUGCACUUAUUCCUACUAUUAAAUUUAACAGAAAGCUACAGAAUAUUGUCUUAUCAAAAGAUCCAAAUUUAUCAUUUCUAGACUAUAAACACUUCACCUGCAAAUGACAGGCAGCUGCCUUUGUACUCUCUGACAUAACAGGCCCAGGCUAAGCAGAGGCCAACCAAAGCAGAGUGAGGGCAAACAACUGGCACAUUUGUCUUGAAGAUAAACUCUUGAACUGAAAUAGAAAAUUAAGGGUCAGAACUACUUAGGAUCAAAAUUAAAGCAAUUUCCUCAAGGAAAUUCCUUGUGAGUAGAAUAAUGUGGUAGAGAAGGAAACAUGGUAAUUUACUUGAAGUGUUUUCCUUUUUUUUUUUUUUUUUUUUUUUUUUUUGUGGGGGGGAGCAGGGUGUGGAUAGGGAUACACAGUCUUGAUAUAUUGGGUUUGCUGUAGUGAAUUGC
rnacentral:lncRNA from 1 species